AAUGCCAACACAAAGAAAGAGGAAGGUAACGGACAUCCGGACGAAAAUGAGAGACGUCCGACGGAACCUGGAACCGGAACAAUCCUGUAAAUGAAACUUCGUCGAUGUAGACUAUGGUUGCAUUAAUAUCCGAACAGCAAUUUCAUAUUGUAGUUGGUCGAGGUGGAGCUAAGUGCCUUAGUGGGACAGAGGGCGGCGGCUUGCCCCAGCAGUGGCUACACCGCUUAAUACACUCAGUAACAAUAACCCUUAGUCGGCUUGCACCAUUGGUUAGCCAAUAGCUGACACAACAAAAACAAAUCCCACAAUGGCAAUUAAUGCAUGCUCUGAAGGCGUGCCUUUUUGUAUGGAAAGCAUUGCAUUGUGGGGUCAUAUCUUAUUGUCUCGGAUAACGGGGCAAUUGAAUGGAACUAAUCUGUGGCUGCAAACAAUGAAAUGAAAAACAAUAGGCUGGCCGAGAAGUCAAAGACGAGCAUGCGUGAUUACUUAUGAGCGAUGAUCUCUGACACGGGGGGGGCUCUGGUGGCAGAAGAGGCCUCUGAAUGACUUCCAGCGCGGGCUAUAUGCAGGGGAUCAGAGGGACUGCUGGGGCUCCCCCUCCCCCACUAUCUACUUCCUGUUUUUCAUGGUUGUCUGCUCGCUUCUGCGUAUACAAUACCAGCUGUGUCUGGAGACAUUCCAGCCUAUACUAUACUGCAGCCCUCAUAAAACCAUGCAUGACUGCUGGCCAAGAGGAGCCUAGAAACAGAACAGAAUGCACUGCUGCAUCGUGGGACAUCUGCUGAUCAGGAGGCUGUUACACUAAAGGCCUUUCCAAACGCUUUGGCUGCUAAUUUAUGUUAUUAUUUAAUUAGUUCUUCUCCAGCUUCAGUGGACACCUUUUUGUUUUUCUUAAUCAGCUUUUACCCUGGAAAAAGAGGGAACUGCAGUCAGACUCACCUUGAGUUGCAUCUUGUUAUGUUUGAAAGCUUGAUUGAUUGAUUGAUUGAUUGAAUAAUGUAUUAGCCUAUACCACAGAGCAGGAUGGUCGUUUUAUCUGCUACAUAUUUAAAAUGUUCAAUAUAAUGUUAUGGGUUUUUGAAAAUAUUUUAGAGACGGACAGAAAAGACAAAAUAUUAUAUUCAUUUUGACAGCCCAAUUCCAACAUACAGUAUGUGGUGGAGAGGAACACAUUAAUUCCAGUACUGUACUAACAAUUUUAAAGUAAAUGGACUUGACUUAAAUAUUUUCACUAAAUGCAUCUCUUUAAUUUUACUACACUUCAGAAGGAAAUAUUACACUCUUUACCCCUUUACAUUUAUCUCACAGCUGUCGCUGUGCACUUUCCAGAGUAAGAUUUUACACAAUUUCAUUUUGUGUGUUUGUACAAAAUGUUGGCACCAUGUAUAUGUGAAUGUUUUGUGAACAGAUGUAAAUAAAAUAGAAAUGCAUACGUGGA